rnacentral:tRNA from 1 species
GGUGGUCUGGUCCAGUGGUUAAGACUCUGCACUCCCAAUGCAGGGGGCCCAGGUUUGUUCCCUGGCCA